rnacentral:rRNA from 1 species
AUUGAACGCUGGCGGCAGGCCUAACACAUGCAAGUCGAACGAGUGGCGGACGGGUGAGUAAUGUCUGGGAAACUGCCUGAUGGAGGGGGAUAACUACUGGAAACGGUAGCUAAUACCACAUACCAUCAGAUGUGCCCAGAUGGGAUUAGCUUGUUGGUGGGGUAACGGCUCACCAAGGCGACGAUCCCUAGCUGGUCGGAGAGGAUGACCAGCAAGACUGGAACUGAGACAGGGUCCAGACUCCGAGGGGAGGCAGCAGUGGGGAAUAUGGCACAAUGGGCGCAAGCCUGAUGCAGCCAGGCCGCGUGUAUGAAGAAGGCCUUCGGGUUGGAAAGUACUUUCAGCGGGGAGGCGUUACCCGCAGAAGAAGCACCGGCGAACUCCGGGCCAGCAGCCGCGGUAAUUC